GCACAAUGGGCGAAAGCCUCGAUGCAGCCAUGCCGCGUGUAUGAAGAAGGCCUUCGGGUUGUAAAGUACUUUCAGUUGUGAGGAAGGGGGUAACGUUAAUAGCGCUAUCUCUUGACGUUAGCAACAGAAGAAGCACCGGCUAACUCCGUGCCAGCAGCCGCGGUAAUACGGAGGGUGCGAGCGUUAAUCGGAAUUACUGGGCGUAAAGCGCAUGCAGGUGGUUCAUUAAGUCAGAUGUGAAAGCCCGGGGCUCAACCUCGGAACUGCAUUUGAAACUGGUGAACUAGAGUGCUGUAGAGGGGGGUAGAAUUUCAGGUGUAGCGGUGAAAUGCGUAGAGAUCUGAAGGAAUACCAGUGGCGAAGGCGGCCCCCUGGACAGACACUGACACUCAGAUGCGAAGCGUGGGGAGCAAACAGGAUUAGAUACCCUGGUAGUCCACGCCUAAACGUUGUUUACUUGGAGGUUGUGCCCUUGAGCCGUGGCUUUCGGAGCUAACGCGUUAAGUAGACCGCCUGGGGAGUACGGUCGCAAGAUUAAAACUCAAAUGAAUUGACGGGGGCCC
rnacentral:rRNA from 1 species